UGACACCCACCGCGCCCACCAGGUCUCCCGCGGCGGAGGUAUCUCGGCACGGGAGCGAUGCGGCCCCAGGAGGUCGCGUGAUUGUGGGGGCGGUGCCGCGAGGCGCCCCGGGCGGUGGGCACGUCACGUGACGUCAGGCGGGGCGGGGCCGGCGGCCGCGGUAAACAAGGCCCGGCCGGAGGCGGCCGUGGGAGCGGCCCGGGGCAGCGCUGGUGCCGGGCGCCCGCCCCCAGGGACCCCCGGCCGGCCGAAAGAGCUCUGUAGGCUCUCUAGCUACUCUCCGCCCGCGCUGCCGUGGGGCUUAGCGGUGUGGGUCGGGACCCGGAGUGCUCGCGGGCCUCGCCCCGCCGGCUCUCCGUCGGGACGGGCGGGCUGAGGCGGUCCUGCGCGGUGCCGGGCUCCUGCCGCAGAGCCUCUGUGAAGUGCGUUAACGUGCCGAGUAAAAAGGCGAAGCUCCGUUAUUGCCGUUUCAGACCCCACAACACCUCGGGCGAGACACGGACAAGAGGUUUUUUCCUUUAUUUUGCUGGCAUGCAACAACAAUACAACGUAAACCGUUUCAUCCUUCCUUCUAGAUAAGGCUUUUUUCCUAUGGCCAGGAAGGUUUAAGGAAAGAGGAAUGGAAGCUACCUCAGAGCAGGUUCUCUGCUGCACACCAUAAAUUUGCAGUUCUAUACUUCAGUCCCCAGACCAGCAUCAGGAGGGCUCUGACUGAGGUUUCAUCUUCCAUUCCCCAAUAAAGGGCAGUUCAGGGGGGAUACACUGAUGGUGCUUUACAAGCUGCUGCUCUAGCUUUUCAAUCCAUCUGAAUCCUCCUCAAAUGCCAGUAUGAACCAAGGACAUUAAAGUUGCAAGCUAGAAGCUAGGUGUAAGAAAAGCAAAGCAGAUUAGAGCACUAUCUGAGAAACAUCGGUUGAUUUUUUUUACUUCUGUUAAAUAAUGUGAUGUUUCACAGUUCUCAUUCCUCCAAGGCCAAGAGAUUCCUUCGUGCUGCACCUGCAAUGGGUCAUCCUGCUUCAGGAUGAGGUAGAGUUGCUUGGAGCCAGCCUGUUUUCAAUCUAGUCCUGCCUCGUGCAUGGCAAUUAAUAUUUAUUACAGUCUGGACUGAGUGAUGGUAUUUUUUUUCCUGCUGUGCAGGAGACAUGUUUAUUUAAUCCACCACAGAAAAGAGUGGAAAUUAGGAUGAGCUUCAGAAAAGAGCUGGAAGCAAUUAGUUGUGUUAUUUUACUGUGUCUUAAUUACUGUAACAUUCAAAUUGACAAAGAGAACAUGGAUGCUAUAGGAGGGGUUUUCUGCUGGAUUUGAAAGGGAAAACGACAGCAUUAGAGUGGACAUGAUGUGCUGUAAUGAACCUGUUUACUAUUACCGGGUUAUACAUUCAAUAAUCUAUUCACUUAGGAUGCAUUGGAGCAUAUGCCAUAGUGAGAACUCACAGCAGUACACAAACCGUCCCUCAGACACAGGCAGAGCUCCACCGUGGCCUGUGUGGGUCAGGGCCAGGACAUACUUAUGUGAGCCCAGAUAAGACCUCUGCAGCUCUCCCUUCUCUGCUGACCCUGAAAUGAGAAGAGAGAACAGGGAAAAUUACAUCAACAGGAAGAACAUAAAAUAAAAAUGACCACACGGGGUCAGCUCAAAGGUCCCUCUGGCCCAAAAUACACCUCCAGCACUCUGGUGUUUUAAUUCAGCUUGUGUAAAUCGCCUUUUGAUGGCAGUUUCAAUGGAGAGGUGACAAGGUUAACAGGAGCCAUAAACAGAAACGUAGGGAGGUGUAAGGACACAAGAAGUGAAGACGAUAGCUGACUGCGCUGCCAUCCUGUAACCAUUUGCUCCCUAAGAAUUCCUGAAGUAAAAUGAAGGGAGAAGAGGUAGACAAGAGCUGAACCAGAUACAGCAGCGUCCUCAUCUCUCUUCAGGCAUUCUAGUGUAGUGGCAAUAGCCAUAGUCAGAAAAGAGACUAUUAAUGCCCAUUAUCUUAGGGAUUAGUUUGUAUGGAGUCAUAUCUGGGCUGUGCAGGAGGAUGAGUACUUGAGGAAGCAGAACAGCUGAUGCAGAUGUUUUAUUUGCAGAUGGGCUACAUAGAGGUUACUGACACUGGGAGGUGUAGUCAUCCUUCUGCAAAGGACUGUGCCCAAUGCUCUUUGGAGCACCUCUCCAAUUAGCUAGCCAGCGGGGUUUUAUUGAACAUCUGAUGAGAUCUUUUUUUCAUAACAAGUUUUCUAUAGGUUUUUUUUCUGUGAGUGACUUGCUUUUACCGUCUCCAGUUCAACAGCCACAUUCUGCAACCCUUUGCACUUUAUGUCAACGGGAAGUCCGUGCUCGGGGUGCUGGCAGAGGCUGGCUCCAAUGUUUCAUAAAAUAACAUCUCGGUCCUUUCAGCAGCUUGUCAUUUUCCUGUUUUGUUUAAUUCCUGUAACUGUCUUCAUAUGAAAGUCUGAAGCUGCAAUGUACAUUUUGGUUUUCUGUUACAAUGCUUGUUUUUGUAGCGGGAAAUGGAAUCCUUCAAAUGCCUGUGUUUGAGAGGAUGCAAAUCAGCUUGCUAGCACAAUGCCUUGGGAACGUUUCUUUCAUGCAAAACCCAGCUAGAUAAAUAAGGAGGGGAGGAGGGAGAGGGAAAAGGGAUUGUUUGCUUCUGUAAUCAACAAAGAUUAAUUAUGUUCAGUAAAUGACAGAUGGGUUAAGAUGAAAAUCUGAAUCUUUCUCAAUGCGGGUGAAAUCUACAUUGCUAUCUCUGACUUGCAUCAAAACCCAUUGCACAGCCUGUCCGGUGCCAUGGGGCAAUGACAGGGCACAAUGACAAGAGUUGUAACUGGUGGCUGUCCUGGCAAGGAGCACUGGGGCAGCAGCCUGGCACCACUGCCUGCCAGGCUGGGAUGCAAAAUACCUCCACUGGGGAUCCGAAGUGUCCCUGGACCACAUCAUCUGCUCCAUCAGGGAAACACCAGCCUACCACUGAGCCUGCUGUAGGUUCUAAUUUCCCUGUGCAAUCAUCACUCUGAGCUGGGGUGGGCAAAAGGACCCAAUGCUGGUUUAAUGCAGUCCACUGUAGAAGAGGAUAAAAUGUGUUUGGAAGCUCACAGGGAGACAAAAAACUCCACAGGCAUUUCUCUGAUGGUCACGUCCCAGUCCUUGGCACUGCAGUUGCAUGUAUGCUUAUAUACAUCUGAAAUGAUAAACCUCUUGGAAGGCAUCUUUGCUGUCCCAGUUUCAGCCAUGCACAAAGCAUUUUGUUUUAACAGGAGGGGAUAACUGAGAGCACAUACAGCUCAUGCCACUGUGCGCUCACAGUCAGGAAGAUUGCAGUACUCAGAGAACAGGUGAAAUAAAGGAAUGUCUUCCCUUUCCCAAGCAUGUGGAGAGGUCUCCUUGUUUGUCCUCAAAUAAGAGUCAUGCCCAAGGAUUCUGCAAAGAAAAUCAUUGUUCUCCAGCUCCUGUUCAUUCCCUCCUCUGCCAGAGAGCAACCAGGUGAUCUGAGGAGAGUCCCUCUGCCCCUGUCUUGGUCUCCCUUCACUGCCAGUCAAUUAUUUCACAUUCACAAACCCAAUUUCAAACUUUUUUUGAAAGCAAAUGAUAGAAGUGCAAAUUCUUAUUAUUGCUCUCGGAGAUCUUUUUGCAAAGAUGCUUGUUCAUGAGCUUUCUUAAAUCUACAUACAGCUGUAUAUAGAGCAAUGCCUAAAAUAUAUAUGUACUGCACACACGCCUAGGAAAACGAAGGCUGAUUAACACACAUCUUUUGCAGUUACAACUGUGCACGUAUUUAUCCCUUUUUCCUUGGAAAUUGUAGAGAUAAAAGAUCCAUUCUGGAAUAAAAUAAUCUUAUGCA